AUACUUACCUGGCAGAGGAGAUACCAUGUUCAUGAAAGUGGUUUUUACAGGGUGAGGCUCAUCUGCUGCAUCUGGGUUUGCUGACCCCUGCGAUUUCCCAAAUGCAGGAAACUCGACUGCAUAAUUUGUGGUACCGGGGGACUGCAUUUGUGCUUUCCCCUG
rnacentral:snRNA from 1 species